rnacentral:rRNA from 1 species
AUUCCAAUCGAACUCGGAGAUAGCUGGUUCUCCCCGAAAUAGCUUUAGGGCUAGCGUUAGUUUAGAUUACCGGAGGUAAAGCACUGAAUGGUUUAGGGGCUGAUAAAGUUACCGACGCCUAUCAAACUCUGAAUGCCGGAUAAUUGAUGACUAGCAGUCAGACAGUGUGAGAUAAGUUUCAUUGUCAAAAGGGAAACAGCCCAGACCUACAGCUAAGGUCCCAAAUGUAUGCUAAGUGGAAAACGAUGUGGAAUUGCGAAAACAACCAGGAUGUUGGCUUAGAAGCAGCCACUCAUUAAAAGAGUGCGUAAUAGCUCACUGGUCGAGUGACUCUGCGCGGAAAAUAUAACGGGGCUAAGCAUGAAACCGAAGCUUGGGCUUGUCGUAAGACAGGGGUAGGGGAGCGUCGAGUAUGGGGUGAAGUCAGAGCGGAAGCACUGGUGGACUGUACUGGAGUGAGAAUGCCGGAAUGAGUAGCGAGAAUUAUGUGGGAAUCAUAAUGGCCGAAAAUCUAAGGUUUCUUGGGGAAGGUUCGUCCGCCCAAGGUAAGUCGGGAGCUAAGCUCAGGCCGAGAGGCGUAGGCGAUGCACAUACGGUAGAAAUUCCGUAACCACCGAAACUUAAACAGAGGGACACUUCGAAAUAGCGGAACCCGGGCGUUGGUUGACCCGGGCGUAAGGGAGCGAAAUUAGAGUAGCGAAGUCCGCGAUGUUCGGAGGCGAGAAAAGCUCUGAGGUAUGCUAAGGUGCCCGUACCGCAAACCGACACAGGUAGAUGAGGAGAGAAUCCUAAGGCCAACGGGAGAAGGGUUGUUAAGGAACUCGGCAAAUUGACCCCGUAACUUCGGAAGAAGGGGAGCCUCGAAAGAGGCCGCAGUGAAUAGGCCCAAGCAACUGUUUACCAAAAACACAGGUCUAUGCUAAAUCGAAAGAUGACGUAUAUGGGCUGACGCCUGCCCGGUGCCGGAAGGUUAAGAGGAGAUGUCAGCGCAAGCGAAGCAUUGAAUUGAAGCCCCGGUAAACGGCGGCCGUAACUAUAACGGUCCUAAGGUAGCGAAAUUCCUUGUCAGGUAAGUUCUGACCCGCACGAAAGGCGUAAUGAUUUGGGCACUGUCUCAACAGCCCGCCCGGCGAAAUUGUAGUACUGGUGAAGAUGCCAGUUACCCGCAACUAGACGGAAAGACCCCAUGGAGCUUUACUGCAGCUUAAUACUGAAAUUCGGUAGUACAUGUACAGGAUAGGUGGGAGACUGAGAAAUACAGGCGUCAGCUUGUAUGGAGUCGCUGUUGGGAUACCACUCUUGUACUGCUGGGUUUCUAACCUGCGGCCGUGAAUCCGGUCGGGGGACACUGUUAGGCGGGCAGUUUGACUGGGGCGGUCGCCUCCAAAAGAGUAACGGAGGCGCUCAAAGGUUCGUUCAGCACGGACGGAAAUCGUGCAUUGAGUGUAAACGCAUAAACGAGCCUAACUGCGAGACCGACGGGUCGAGCAGUAACGAAAGUUGGAGUUAGUGAUCCGGUGGUAUGUGAGUGGAAAUGCCAUCGCUCAACGGAUAAAAGCUACCCUGGGGAUAACAGGCUGAUCUCCCCCAAGAGUCCACAUCGACGGGGAGGUUUGGCACCUCGAUGUCGGCUCAUCGCAUCCUGGGGCUGUAUUCGGUCCCAAGGGUUUGGCUGUUCGCCAAUUAAAGCGGCACGCGAGCUGGGUUCAGAACGUCGUGAGACAGUUCGGUCCCUAUCUGUUGCGGGCGUAAGAGAUUUGAAGGGAGCUGUCCUUAGUACGAGAGGACCGGGAUGGACGUACCUCUGGUGCACCAGUUGUCCUGCCAAGGGCAUAGCUGGGUAGCUAUGUACGGACGAGAUAAACGCUGAAAGCAUCUAAGCGUGAAACUCCCCCUAAGAUGAGAUCUCUCAUCCUUCAAGGAGUAAGGACCCAGAAAGACGAUCUGGUUGAUAGGCCGAAGGUGGAAGCGCAGUAAUGUGUGCAGCUGAUCGGUACUAAUAGUCCGAGGGCUUGACCUA